ACGGAAGGCAGCAGUGGGGAAUAUUGGGCAAUGGGCGAAAGCCUGACCCAGCGACGCCGCGUGAGGGAAGAAGGUCUUCGGAUUGUAAACCUCUUUUAGCAGGGAAGAAGCAAGUGACGGUACCUGCAGAAGAAGUCACGGCUAACUACGUGCCAGCAGCCGCGGUAAUACGUAGGUGGCGAGCGUUAUCCGGAAUUACUGGGUGUAAAGGGUGUGUAGGCUGAGGAGCAAGUCAGGCGUGAAAUUUCUGGGCUCAACUCAGAAACUGCGCUUGAAACUGUUUCCCUUGAGAGUGGGAGAGGUAAACGGAAUUCCUGGUGUAGUAGUGAAAUGCGUAGAUAUCAGGAGGAACACCGGUGGCGAAGGCGGUUUACUGGACCACAACUGACGCUGAGACACGAAAGCGUGGGGAGCAAACAGGAUUAGAUACCCUGGUA
rnacentral:rRNA from 1 species